rnacentral:rRNA from 1 species
GGGGGCGAGCGUUGUCCGGAGUUACUGGGCGUAAAGCGCACGCAGGCGGUCUGCGACGUGUUGAGUGACAGGGUUCGGCUUAACUGAACCGGAGCUGGGCAAACGGGCAGACUUGAGGCUUCCAGAGGGACACGGAAUUCCGGGUGGAGCGGUGAAAUGCGUAGAGAUCCGGAGGAACACCGAAGGCGCAGGCAGUGUCCUGGGGAAGUACUGACGCUCAGGUGCGAAAGCUAGGGGAGCGAACGGGAUUAGAUACCCUGGUAGUCAAGGGCGAAUUCGUUUAA